CCCUACGGGGGAAAAAUUUAUUGCUAUUAGAUGAGCCUAUAUUAGAUUAGUUAGUUGGUGAGGUAAGGCUUACCAAGACAAUGAUCUAUAGCUGAUCUGAGAGGAUGAUCAGCCACACUGGAACUGAGAUACGGUCCAGACUCCUACGGGAGGCAGCAGUGGGGAAUAUUGGACAAUGGGCGAAAGCCUGAUCCAGCCAUGCCGCAUGAGUGAAGAAGGCCUUCGGGUUGUAAAGCUCUUUUAGUGAGGAAGAUAAUGACGGUACUCACAGAAGAAGUCCUGGCUAACUCCGUGCCAGCGGCCGCGGUAAUACGGAGAGGGCUAGCGUUAUUCGGAAUCAUUGGGCGUAAAGGGCGCGUAGGCGGGUUAGUAAGUUAAAAGUGAAAUCCCAAGGCUCAACCUUGGAACUGCUUUUAAAACUGCUAGUCUAGAGAUUGAAAGAGGAUAGAGGAAUUCCUAGUGUAGAGAUGAAAUUCGUAAAUAUUAGGAGGAACACCAGUGGCGGAGGCGUCUAUCUGGUUCAAAUCUGACGCUGAG
rnacentral:rRNA from 1 species